rnacentral:misc_RNA from 1 species
UACGGAGGGUGCAAACGUUGCUCGGAAUCAUUGGGCGUAAAGCGUGUGUAGGCGGCCUGUUAAGUCGGGUGUGAAAGCCCUCGGCUCAACCGAGGAAGUGCAUUCGAUACUGGCAGGCUCGAGUACGGGAGAGGGUAGCGGAAUUCCCGGUGUAGAGGUGAAAUUCGUAGAUAUCGGGAGGAACACCAGUGGCGCAGGCGGCUACCUGGACUGAUACUGACACUCAGGUGCGAAAGCGUGGGGAGCAAACAGG